CUCCGACGCCGUGGCGACGAACAUACCGCACGGGAUCAAACGGCUCGUUGCCACUACUCUGAAGGACCAGUGAAACACCUAUCCAACAGGAGUAUAAGCGUCGGAUUAAAAUAAAAAUGAAUGCUAAUAAAAUUAUUGACUGAUGCUUACUUGAACCAGGACGGUCAGCUUCUCGAACCACAUGAGUCAUACCGGCUUUGUAACCGAUGAAAGCGGUCAAAUGCACUGGCUUGCUCGGGUCAUCUUUUGGGAAAGCCUUUACUUUACCACGGUGACGUUGGGAUCUUUUUUUUGGGUAGAAUCCCA